CGCGGCUCUGGAGAAGUCCAUCGAAUUGGAUGCCGAAGGUGCAAGACGCGGCGGUGGCCGCGGGAAUCUCUCAGGCAAAAGGACAGAGUAGCA
rnacentral:ncRNA from 1 species